GACGAACCGUGCGAACGUUGUUCGGAAUCACUGGGCUUAAAGGGCGCGUAGGCGGAUUCCCAAGUCCGGGGUGAAAUCUUUCGGCCCAACCGGAAAAGUGCCUUGGAUACUGGGAGUCUUGAGGGAGGCAGGGGCGGAUGGAACUUCCGGUGGAGCGGUGAAAUGCGUUGAUAUCGGAAGGAACGCCGGUGGCGAAAGCGAUCCGCUGGACCUCUUCUGACGCUGAGGCGCGAAAGCCUGGGGAGCAAACAGG
rnacentral:rRNA from 1 species